rnacentral:rRNA from 1 species
UACAGAGGGUGCAAGCGUUGUCCGGAAUUAUUGGGCGUAAAGAGCUCGUAGGCGGUCUGUCACGUCGGCUGUGAAAACCCGGGGCUCAACCCCGGGCCUGCAGUCGAUACGGGCAGACUAGAGUGCGGUAGGGGAGACUGGAAUUCCUGGUGUAGCGGUGAAAUGCGCAGAUAUCAGGAGGAACACCGGUGGCGAAGGCGGGUCUCUGGGCAAUAACUGACGCUGAGGAGCGAAAGCGUGGGGAGCGAACAGG